CCUACUGGAGACAUCAUUGAGGCAUCUUGGUCAAUGGGCGUAAGCCUGAACCAGCCAAGUCGCGUGAGGUCUUCCUUUUCUCUUUCUCUUCCCCCUCUUUUCUCCUUUCCUCCAUUGCGUGACGUGUCCCGUUUUGUAUGUACCUUAUGAAUAAGGAUCGGCUAACUCCGUGCCAGCAGCCUCGGUAAUACGGAAGGCCCGAUCGUUAUCCGGAUUCAUUGGGCUUAAAGGGAGCGUAGGCGGGCGUUCAAGUCAGCUGUAAAAUCGCGCGGCUCAACCGCGCCCCGCAGUUGAAACUGGACGCCUUGAGUUCACAACAGGCAGGCGGAAUUCGUGGUGUAGCGGUGAAAUGCAUAGAUAUCACGAGGAACCCCGAUUGCGAAGGCAGCCUGCCGGGGUGCGAAUGACGCUGAGGCUCGAAGGUGAGGGUAUCAAACAGGAUUAGAGAAAAGGGUAGUC
rnacentral:rRNA from 1 species